rnacentral:rRNA from 1 species
GACGAACGCUGGCGGCGUGCCUAAUACAUGCAAGUAGAACGCUGAAGGAGGAGCUUGCUCUUCUGGAUGAGUUGCGAACGGGUGAGUAACGCGUAGGUAACCUGCCUGGUAGCGGGGGAUAACUAUUGGAAACGAUAGCUAAUACCGCAUAACAGUAGAUGUUGCAUGACAUUUGCUUAAAAGGUGCAAUUGCAUCACUACCAGAUGGACCUGCGUUGUAUUAGCUAGUUGGUGGGGUAACGGCUCACCAAGGCGACGAUACAUAGCCGACCUGAGAGGGUGAUCGGCCACACUGGGACUGAGACACGGCCCAGACUCCUACGGGAGGCAGCAGUAGGGAAUCUUCGGCAAUGGACGGAAGUCUGACCGAGCAACGCCGCGUGAGUGAAGAAGGUUUUCGGAUCGUAAAGCUCUGUUGUAAGAGAAGAACGAGUGUGAGAGUGGAAAGUUCACACUGUGACGGUAGCUGAACAGAAAGGGACGGCUAACUACGUG